rnacentral:rRNA from 1 species
UGGCGAACGGGUGAGUAACACGUGCAGCAAUCUGCCCUUGACUCUGGGAUAACUGCGGGAAACUGUAGCUAAUACCGGAUACGACACCUUGGGGCAUCCCGAGGUGUGGAAAGAAUUUCGGUCAAGGAUGAGCUCGCGGCCUAUCAGCUUGUUGGUGAGGUAAAAGCUCACCAAGGCGACGACGGGUAGCCGGCCUGAGAGGGUGACCGGCCACACUGGAACUGAGAUACGGUCCAGACUCCUACGGGAGGCAGCAGUGGGGAAUAUUGCACAAUGUGCGCAAGCCUGAUGCAGCAACGCCGCGUGAGGGAUGAAGGCCUUCGGGUUGUAAACCUCUUUUAUCAGGGAAGAAGCGAAAGUGGCGGUACCUGAAGAAAAAGCACCGGCUAACUACGUGCCAGCAGCCGCGGUAAUACGUAGGGUGCAAGCGUUGUCCGGAAUUAUUGGGCGUAAAGAGCUCGUAGGCGGUUUGUCGCGUCUGCUGUGAAAAUCCAAGGCUCAACCUUGGACCUGCAGUGGGUACGGGCAGACUAGAGUGCGGUAGGGGAGAUGGGAAUUCCUGGUGUAGCGGUGGAAUGCGCAGAUAUCAGGAGGAACACCAAUGGCGAAGGCACAUCUCUGGGCCGUAACUGACGCUGAGAGCGAAAGCGUGGGAGCGAACAGGAUUAGAUACCCUGGUA